rnacentral:rRNA from 1 species
GGUGACCUGCGGAAGGAUCAUUAUUGAAUU